AAAUAUGACCUACAGUUCUUCCAACCCUCACUCUAUAAUCAGAAAAGCGGAGUUGAAAUUCGAGGUACCAAAACUGAGUUGCUUCGAUUCAACCUCAAAACAACUCAGAAUCAUUGCCUACAUUGGUAGGACUUCCGUCAUCCACAAAUUAAGCCAAUAUCUUAAGAAAUAAGAUAGAAUUGAAGAGUUGAAAAUUGAAGAAAUUCAC
rnacentral:lncRNA from 1 species